rnacentral:rRNA from 1 species
GACGAACGCUGGCGGCGUGCCUAAUACAUGCAAGUCGAGCGCAGGAAAUCAUCUGAACCCUUCGGGGGGACGUUGAUGGAAUGAGCGGCGGACGGGUGAGUAACACGUAAAGAACCUGCCCUCAGGUCUGGGAUAACCACGAGAAAUCGGGGCUAAUACCGGAUGGGUCAUCGGACCGCAUGGUCCGAGGAUGAAAGGCGCUUCGGCGUCGCCCGGGGAUGGCUUUGCGGUGCAUUAGCUAGUUGGUGGGGUAAUGGCCCACCAAGGCGACGAUGCAUAGCCGACCUGAGAGGGUGAUCGGCCACACUGGGACUGAGACACGGCCCAGACUCCUACGGGAGGCAGCAGUAGGGAAUCUUCCACAAUGGACGAAAGUCUGAUGGAGCAACGCCGCGUGAACGAUGAAGGCCUUCGGGUCGUAAAGUUCUGUUGUAAGGGAAGAACAAGUGCCGCAGGCAAUGGCGGCACCUUGACGGUACCUUGCGAGAAAGCCACGGCUAACUACGUGCCAGCCGCCGCCGUAACAC